rnacentral:rRNA from 1 species
UACGUAGGGUGCGAGCGUUGUCCGGAUUUAUUGGGCGUAAAGAGCUCGUAGGCGGUUUGUCGCGUCGGCCGUGAAAUCUCCACGCUUAACGUGGAGCGUGCGGUCGAUACGGGCAGACUUGAGUUCGGUAGGGGAGACUGGAAUUCCUGGUGUAGCGGUGAAAUGCGCAGAUAUCAGGAGGAACACCGGUGGCGAAGGCGGGUCUCUGGGCCGAUACUGACGCUGAGGAGCGAAAGCCAGGGGAGCAAACGGA